rnacentral:rRNA from 1 species
UACGUAGGUGGCAAGCGUUGUCCGGAAUUAUUGGGCGUAAAGCGCGCGCAGGCGGUCCUUUAAGUCUGAUGUGAAAGCCCACGGCUCAACCGUGGAGGGUCAUUGGAAACUGGCGGGCUUGAGUGUGGCAGAGGGGGGUGGAAUUCCGCGUGUAGCAGUGAAAUGCGCAGAUAUCAGGAGGAACACCGGUGGCGAAGGCGGGUCUCUGGGCCGAUACUGACGCUGAGGAGCGAAAGCGUGGGGAGCGAACAGG